CCAGGUUGAUUCUGCCUGACGUAGACACUAUUCCCUAAGAUUAACCCAUGCAUGGUUUUGAAGAUUAUUAUCUGAAAAAUAGACUGCUCAGUAAUACUCACUUUAUUUUAUGUAUACAGCAGAUAACUACGUUAAAGUGUAGAUAAUAUGUGUACAGUAAGAGUGAGACCUAUCAGCUAGUUGUUAAGGUAAUGGCUUAACAAGGCAAUAACGGGUAACGGUAUUACCUUGUAAUAUUCCGGGAAGGAGCCUGAGAGACGGCUACUAAGUCUAAGGAUUGCAGCAGGGGCGAAACUUGACCUAUGGAUUUUACCUGAGGUAGUUAUGGGAAGUAAUAUGUUAUUGUUUCAUAUUUUAAAAAUAUAUGAGGUGAUUAAUUGGAGGGCAAAUCAAGUGCCAGCAGCCGCGGUAAUACUUGUUCCAAGAGUGUGUAUGAUGAUUGAUGCAGUUAAAGAGUCCGUAGUUUAUUUCUAAGAAGCAAUAUGAGGUGUACUGUAUAGUUAGGAGAGAAAUGAAAUGUGACGACCCUGACUGGACGAACA
rnacentral:rRNA from 1 species